AACGAACGCUGGCGGCGUGCCUAACACAUGCAAGUCGUGCGAGAAAGUUUCCUUCGGGGAGCGAGUAAAGCGGCGCACGGGUGAGUAACACGUAGGUAACCUACCUUUCAGUCCGGAAUAACCAGCUGAAAAGCUGGCUAAUGCCGGGUAAGACCACGAUCUCUGCGGGGAUCGCGGCCAAAGGCGGCCUCUUCAUGAAAGCUGAUGCUGAGAGAUGGGCCUGCGUACCAUUAGCUAGUUGGUGAGGUAACGGCUCACCAAGGCUUUGAUGGUUAGCUGGUCUGAGAGGAUGACCAGCCACACUGGGAC
rnacentral:rRNA from 1 species